AUACGGAGGGAGCAAGCGUUAUUCGGAAUCACUGGGCGUAAAGGACGCGUAGGCGGGUUUGUAAGUCAGGUGUGAAAUCCUACAGCUCAACUGUAGAACUGCACUUGAAACUACAGACCUAGAGUAUGGAAGGGGCAGAUGGAAUUAGUGGUGUAGGGGUAAAAUCCGUAGAUAUCACUAGGAAUACCGAAAGCGAAGGCGAUCUGCUGGAACAUUACUGACGCUGAGGCGUGAAAGCGUGGGGAGCAAACAGGAUUAGAAACCCUAGUAGUCC
rnacentral:rRNA from 1 species